UACGAAGGGGGCGAGCGUUGUUCGGAUUUACUGGGCGUAAAGGGCUCGUAGGCGGCCAACUAAGUCGGAUGUGAAAUCCCCAGGCUUAACCUGGGAACUGCAUCCGAUACUGGAUGGCUUGAAUCCGGGAGAGGGAUGCAGAAUUCCAGGUGUAGCGGUGAAAUGCGUAGAUAUCUGGAGGAAUACCGGUGGCGAAGGCGGCAUCCUGGACCGGCAUUGACGCUGAUGAGCGAAAGCCAGGGGAGCAAACGGG
rnacentral:rRNA from 1 species